GUGAGGAAUAUUGGUCAAUGGGCGGAAGCCUGAACCAGCCAAGUCGCGUGAAGGAAGAAGGAUCUAUGGUUUGUAAACUUCUUUUGAAGGGGGAUAAAGUGCGUCACGGGUGAUGCAUUGCAGGUACCCUUGGAAUAAGCAUCGGCUAACUCCGUGCCAGCAGCCGCGGUAAUACGGAGGAUGCGAGCGUUAUCCGGAUUUAUUGGGUUUAAAGGGUGCGUAGGUGGCUUUUUAAGUCAGCGGUGAAAACUGGCGGCUCAACCGCAAGAGUGCCGUUGAAACUGGGGAGCUAGAGUAUGAACGAGGUAGGCGGAAUGUGUGGUGUAGCGGUGAAAUGCAUAGAUAUCACGCAGAACUCCGAUAGCGAAGGCAGCUUACCAGGCCAUAACAGACACUGAAGCACGAAAGCGUGGGGAUCGAACAGGAUUAGAUACCCGGGUAGUCC
rnacentral:rRNA from 1 species